GCCCCCUGAGCCAGCCAGACGUGUAACCUGUUAUCUCUCUGAAUCAAACUCCGAGCUUCUGCAGACAUGGGUGACAAACCAGACGUCAAAGAGGUCGAACAAUUCGACAAGACCAAGCUGAAGAAGACGUCCACUGAGGAGAAGAACACAUUACCAACUAAAGAAAUCAUCGAACAGGAAAAGGCAGGGUCAUAAUGACGACCAGUCCGACUAUGCACUGUACAUUCCACAAGCCUUGCCUUUUUAAAACCAACAUGUAUGCAAGUUGAAGUGCUUAAUUAAAAAAAAUUAAAAAAAAACAAUGGCCCCAACACCUCACUUGCCCAAAUGUCCCUUGUGCCGGAAGGAGUGUGGCUUCAUAUCGGCAUUGGGUGCCUGGUCAUCUGUUGCUGUUGUACCAAUGAGCUGGUGUGUCAUGAAACAACUGAGGGACCUACACUUGGGGAUUCGUAAUCCUGCUUGUGCCACUUGUGAAUUCUAAGUGUUUUUGUAAAAAAAUAAAUCUGGAAUGUGCAAGUUUGUUAAAUAUGCAAAAUAAAAAAAAUGUUAAUUGA